ACACCUCAACUCUCAUGGCCAGCCAUGAUGAGCUUGGACUUUGGAGGUCUUGCCGGCAUACCAUCGGCUCCUCUCAAAUGAAUCAGCUUGCCAGUGUUUGGCGGCAUCACAGGUGUGAUGACUAUCUACGCUUGUGGUUUUCCACCAGGGUAACCUUCAGCGAUGAAGGUUCACUGGGGCUCAUAAAUGUGUCUCUCCUCACAGAGGACAGCUCUUGAAC
rnacentral:misc_RNA from 1 species